AGUCGAGGGGUACGAUUCUGAGUAAUCGGAAGGCGACGCCGACUCACGGGUGAAUUCGCGUAUGCACCUACCUCUGACUGGAGCAUAGCCCGAAGAAAUUCGGAUUAAUACUCCAUAAUACUGCGAGAAGGCAUCUUUUUUCAGUUAAAGCUUCGGCGGUCAGAGAUGGGCAUGCGUAACAUUAGCUAGUUGGUGAGGUAACUGCUCACCAAGGCUACGAUGUUUAGGGGGUCUGAGAGGAUGGUCCCCCACACUGGUACUGAGACACGGACCAGACUCCUACGGGAGGCAGCAGUGAGGAAUAUUGGUCAAUGGGCGAAAGCCUGAACCAGCCAUGCCGCGUGAAGGAUGACGGCCCUAUGGGCUGUAAACUUCUUUUAUACGGGAAGAAACCUCUCUACGUGUAGAGGGUUGACGGUACCGUACGAAUAAGCAUCGGCUAACUCCGUGCCAGCAGCCGCGGUAAUACGGAGGAUGCAAGCGUUAUCCGGAUUCAUUGGGUUUAAAGGGUGCGCAGGCGGAGAAUUAAGUCAGUGGUGAAAUCCUGCAGCUUAACUGUAGAAUUGUCAUUGAUACUGGUUUUCUUGAAUGCAGUUGAGGUAGGCGGAAUGUGUAAUGUAGCGGUGAAAUGCUUAGAUAUUACCCAGAACACCGAUUGCGAAGGCAGCUUACUAAACUGUGAUUGACGCUGAGGCACGAAAGCGUGGGGAGCGAACCAGGAUUAGAUACCCUGGUUAGUCCACGCUGUAAACUAUGAUCACUCGUUGUUGGGCAUACAUCGUCAGCGACUGAGCGAAAGCAUUAAGUGAUCCACCUGGGGAGUACGAUCGCAAGAUUGAAACUCAAAGGGAUUGACGGGGGGCCCGCACCAAGCGGAGGAACCUGGUGGUUUAUUUCGAUGAUACGCGAG
rnacentral:rRNA from 1 species